UACGGGGGGGGCAAGCGUUGUUCGGAAUUACUGGGCGUAAAGGGCUCGUAGGUGGCCAACUAAGUCAGACGUGAAAUCCCUCGGCUUAACCGGGGAACUGCGUCUGAUACUGGAUGGCUUGAGUUUGGGAGAGGGACGCGGAAUUCCAGGUGUAGCGGUGAAAUGCGUAGAUAUCAGGAGGAACACCGGUGGCGAAAGCGCUCAUCUGGCCCAAUACUGACGCUGAGGCGCGAAAGCCUGGGGAGCGAACGGG
rnacentral:rRNA from 1 species